rnacentral:rRNA from 1 species
GACGAACGCUGGCGGCGUGCCUAAUACAUGCAAGUAGAACGCUGAGGACUGGCGCUUGCACCGGUUCAAGGAGUUGCGAACGGGUGAGUAACGCGUAGGUAACCUACCUCAUAGCGGGGGAUAACUAUUGGAAACGAUAGCUAAUACCGCAUGACAAUGGAGGACCCAUGUCUUUCAUUUAAAAGGUGCAACUGCAUCACUAUGGGAUGGACUCGCGGCUUAUCAGCUUGUUGGUGGGGUAGUGGCUUACCAAGGCUUUGACGGGUAGCCGGCCUGAGAGGGUGACCGGCCACAUUGGGACUGAGAUACGGCCCAG